rnacentral:rRNA from 1 species
UACAGAGGGGGCGAGCGUUGUUCGGAAUUACUGGGCGUAAAGGGCGCGUAGGCGGCCUGCUAAGUCGGACGUGAAAUCCCUCGGCUCAACCGGGGAACUGCGUCCGAUACUGGUUGGCUUGAAUCCGGGAGAGGGAUGCAGAAUUCCAGGUGUAGCGGUGAAAUGCGUAGAUAUCUGGAGGAAUACCGGUGGCGAAGGCGGCAUCCUGGACCGACAUUGACGCUGAACGGCGAAAGCUAGGGGAGCAAACGGG